UACGUAGGGUGCGAGCGUUGUCCGGAAUUAUUGGGCGUAAAGAGCUCGUAGGUGGUUUGUCGCGUUGUUCGUGAAAACUCACAGCUCAACUGUGGGCGUGCGGGCGAUACGGGCAGACUUGAGUGCUGCAGGGGAGACUGGAAUUCCUGGUGUAGCGGUGGAAUGCGCAGAUAUCAGGAGGAACACCGGUGGCGAAGGCGGGUCUCUGGGCAGUAACUGACGCUGAGGAGCGAAAGCGUGGGGAGCGAACAGG
rnacentral:rRNA from 1 species